UACGGAGGGGGCAAGCGGUAUCCGGAAUUACUGGGUUUAAAGGGCGCGUAGGCGGCUUUAUAAGUCAGGGGUGACAGCCUAUGGCUUAACGAUAGAAUUGCCUUUGAUACUGUGAAGCUUGAAAGGGGUUGAGGUCAGCGGAAUGUGGCAUGUAGCGGUGAAAUGCAUAGAUAUGCCAUAGAACACCGAUUGCGAAGGCAGCUGGCUGGGCCUUCUUUGACGCUGAGGCGCGAAAGCGUGGGGAGCGAACAGG
rnacentral:rRNA from 1 species